rnacentral:rRNA from 1 species
UGAGCCAAGUUUAGGGUUUUCUCAAAACCCAAGCAGUAUUGAACUGAAGAGUUUGAUCAUGGCUCAGAUUGAACGCUGGCGGCAGGCCUAACACAUGCAAGUCGAGCGGAUGAAGGGGGCUUGCUCCUGGAUUCAGCGGCGGACGGGUGAGUAAUGCCUAGGAAUCUGCCUGGUAGUGGGGGAUAACGUCCGGAAACGGGCG